AAAUCUUAUUGCUUGCAACGUUUGAGCUGUGCUCCCGACAACUUAUCAAUUUUAGCGAGGAAGAUAGUAACAAAGAGGUAAGUUCUUGGUAAAAUUGAACAUACUGUAUAAUAGUGUACCUUUGUACGUUUUGACAUUUUAAUUGAACAUUUACUAAAGAAAAAUUUUGCAGAAUAGUAAAUAUAUAACAUGACGUCUGAUUCGCGCUCUGAAACAGACAGAUCAACGAGCUA